UACGUAGGGUCCGAGCGUUGUCCGGAAUUAUUGGGCGUAAAGGGCUCGUAGGCGGUUCGUCACGUCGGGAGUGAAAACUCGGGGCUUAACCCCGAGCCUGCUUCCGAUACGGGCAGACUAGAGGUAGGCAGGGGAGAGCGGAACUCCUGGUGUAGCGGUGGAAUGCGCAGAUAUCAGGAAGAACACCGGCGGCGAAGGCGGCUCUCUGGGCCUUACCUGACGCUGAGGAGCGAAAGCGUGGGUAGCGAACAGG
rnacentral:rRNA from 1 species